rnacentral:lncRNA from 1 species
GUGCGUAACGUGCAUUCUGGCGGUGCCGGGAGCGGGGCGAGGAGGAGGGUGGGUAUGAGGCGGUAGCGGACCGCGGAGUCGAGACCUACCCGAACGACGCGGGCGAGCGGGGCUUUGGACGCCGGUGGAGACGCAGGCGAGACUCCAGCGGGAGGAAGAAGAGGCCUUUGCCAGCAGUCAGAGCAGCCAAGGGGCCCAAUCCCUCACAUUCUCCAAGUUUGAAGGAAAGAAAACCAACAAGAAGACCCGCAAGGUUACCACAGUGAAGAAAUCUUCAGUACGUCUUCCAGGGUCGGAUCAAAGAAGGAUAUUGAAAUGGAUUCCAGGCGUGUGCCUCGAGACAAGCUGGCCUGCAUCACCAAGUGCAGCAAGCACAUCUUCGAUGCCAUCAAGAUCACCUAGAACGAGCUGGCGUCAGCAGAUGACUUCCUCCCCACCCUCAUCUACAUUGUUUUGAAGGGCAACCCCCAUGCCUUCAGUCUAAUAUCCAGUAUAUCACGUGCUUCUGCAAUCCAAGCCGACUGAUGACUGGAGAGGAUGGCUACUAUUUCACCAAUCUGAGGCUGGGCACUCACUGCAGCUGGCUAAUGAUGACCAUGUGGACAUGCUUUCGGGCCUUCAGGAUCUUCUCCAGCCAGUGGAUGUCGUACGUGUUGGGGUUCCGGAAAGGGAUGUCAGGUGGUGGCUCACACCUGCGAUCCCAGCACUUUGGGAGGCCAAGGCGGGUGGAUCGCUUGAGCCCAGAAGAUCAAGACCAGUCUGGGCAACAUGGUGAAACCUCGUCUCUACUAAAAAUAGAAAAAUUAGCCGGGAGUGGUGGCGCA